GACGAACGCUGGCGGCGUGCUUAACACAUGCAAGUCGAACGGAAAGGCCCUGCUUUUGUGGGGUGCUCGAGUUGCGAACGUGUGAGUAACACGUGAGUAACCUGCCCUUUACUUUGGGAUAACUUCAGGAAACUGGUGCUAAUACCGGAUAGGAGCUCCUGCUGCAUGGUGGGGGUUGGAAAGUUUCGGCGGUUGGGGAUGGACUCGCGGCUUAUCAGCUUGUUGGUGGGGUAGUGGCUUACCAAGGCUUUGACGGGUAGCCGGCCUGAGAGGGUGACCGGCCAAAUUGGGACUGAGAUACGGCCCAGACUCCUACGGGAGGCAGCAGUGGGGAAUAUUGCACAAUGGGCGGAAGCCUGAUGCAGCAACGCCGCGUGCGGGAUGACGGCCUUCGGGUUGUAAACCGCUUUCGCCUGUGACGAAGCGUGAGUGACGGUAAUGGGUAAAGAAGCACCGGCUAACUACGUG
rnacentral:rRNA from 1 species